rnacentral:rRNA from 1 species
GAUGAACGCUGGCGGCGUGCCUAAUACAUGCAAGUCGAGCGAACAGACGAGGAGCUUGCUCCUCUGACGUUAGCGGCGGACGGGUGAGUAACACGUGGAUAACCUACCUAUAAGACUGGGAUAACUUCGGGAAACCGGAGCUAAUACCGGAUAAUAUAUUGAACCGCAUGGUUCAAUAGUGAAAGACGGUUUUGCUGUCACUUAUAGAUGGAUCCGCGCCGCAUUAGCUAGUUGGUAAGGUAACGGCUUACCAAGGCAACGAUGCGUAGCCGACCUGAGAGGGUGAUCGGCCACACUGGAACUGAGACACGGUCCAGACUCCGACGGGAGGCAGCAGUAGGGAAUCUUCCGCAAUGGGCGAAAGCCUGACGGAGCAACGCCGCGUGAGUGAUGAAGGUCCUCGGAUCGUAAAACUCUGUUAUUAGGGAAGAACAAAUGUGUAAGUAACUAUGCACGUAUUGACGGUACCUAAUCAGAAAGCCACGGCUAACUACGUG